rnacentral:lncRNA from 1 species
UUCCUGCUAUCUUCUUGAUGAUUAUAUCCAGGUUCCAUUCCUAGGUUAUCUUAUCAUGAAAAUGAAAUUAAUUGAUGACUUGAUGACCAAUGACCACGCGACGCUACAUAGAUACUCGCGCGGCAAAUUUGAAAA